UACGUAGGUGGCAAGCGUUGUCCGGAUUUAUUGGGUUUAAAGGGUGCGUAGGUGGUUCUAUAAGUCAGUGGUGAAAUACGGCAGCUUAACUGUCGAGGUGCCAUUGAUACUGUAGGACUAGAGUACUGUUGAGGUAGGCGGAAUGGACGGUGUAGCGGUGAAAUGCUUAGAUAUCGUCCAGAACACCGAUAGCGAAGGCAGCUUACUAAAGAGUAACUGACGCUGAGGCACGAAAGUGUGGGGAUCAAACAGG
rnacentral:rRNA from 1 species